rnacentral:rRNA from 1 species
UACAGAGGCCUCGAGCGUUAGGCGGAAUCACUGGGCUUAAAGCGUGUGUAGGCGGACUUCUAAGUCCCUUGUGAAAUCCCACGGCUUACCCGUGGAACUGCUCGGUAUACUGGUUGUCUUGAGCCACCUAGGGGCGAGUGGAACAAAUGGUGGAGCGGUGAAAUGCGUAGAUAUCAUUUGGAACGCCAAUGGUGAAAACAACUCGCUGGGGGUGUGCUGACGCUGAGACACGAAAGCCAGGGGAGCAAACGGG